UACGUAGGGCGCAAGCGUUGUCCGGAAUUAUUGGGCGUAAAGAGCUCGUAGGCGGCCUGUUACGUCUGCUGUGAAAUCCCGGGGGCUUAACCCCGGGCGUGCAGUGGAUCGGGCAGGCUGGAGGCAGGCAGGGGAGAACGGAAUUCCCGGUGUAGCGGUGAAAUGCGCAGAUAUCGGGAGGAACACCGGUGGCGAAGGCGGUUCUCUGGGCCUGUACUGACGCUGAGGAGGCGAAA
rnacentral:rRNA from 1 species